rnacentral:rRNA from 1 species
GACGCUGGCGGCGUGCCUAACACAUGCAAGUCGAACGGUAACAGGUCCUUCGGGACGCUGACGAGUGGCGCACGGGUGAGUAACGCGUGGAUAUCUGCCUAUUAGUGGGGGACAACUACGGGAAACCGUAGCUAAUACCGCAUAAGCUCUACGGAGGAAAGCAGGGGACCCCUCGGGGCCUUGCGCUGAUAGAUGAGUCCGCGUCUGAUUAGCUAGUUGGUAAGGUAAUGGCUUACCAAGGCGAUGAUCAGUAACUGGUUUGAGAGGAUGAUCAGUCACACUGGAACUGAGACACGGUCCAGACUCCUACGGGAGGCAGCAGUGGGGAAUAUUGCACAAUGGGCGAAAGCCUGAUGCAGCGACGCCGCGUGCGGGAAGAAGGCCUUCGGGUUGUAAACCGCUUUCAAUUGGGAAGAAGAGAUGAGGGCUAAUAUCCCUCUGAUUUGACGGUACCUUUAGAAGAAGCACCGGCUAAUUUCGUGCCAGCAGCCGCGGUAAUACGAAAGGUGCAAGCGUUGUUCGGAUUUACUGGGCGUAAAGAGAUCGUAGGUGGCUUGUUAAGUCGGAUGUGAAAUCCCGGGGCUCAACCCCGGAACUGCAUUCGAUACUGGCAGGCUAGAGUUUGGGAGGGGUAAGCGGAAUUCCGUGUGUAGCAGUGAAAUGCGUAGAUAUACGGAGGAACACCUGAGGGSGAAGGCGGCUUACUGGACCAAUACUGACACUGAGGAUCGAAAGCGUGGGUAGCAAACAGGAUUAGAUACCCUGGUAGUCCACGCCCUAAACGAUGUCAACUAGCCGUUGCGGGUAUCGACCCCUGCAGUGGCGAAGCUAACGCGAUAAGUUGACCGCCUGGGGAGUACGGUCGCAAGAU